UACGUAGGUGGCAAGCGUUGUCCGGAAUUAUUGGGCGUAAAGCGCGCGCAGGCGGUUCCUUAAGUCUGAUGUGAAAGCCCACGGCUCAACCGUGGAGGGUCAUUGGAAACUGGGGAACUUGAGUGCAGAAGAGGAAAGUGGAAUUCCACGUGUAGCGGUGAAAUGCGUAGAGAUGUGGAGGAACACCAGUGGCGAAGGCGACUUUCUGGUCUGUAACUGACGCUGAGGCGCGAAAGCGUGGGGAGCGAACAGG
rnacentral:rRNA from 1 species